UCUAUCUAGUUUUGACAGACCUAAGUGUGA
rnacentral:piRNA from 1 species